rnacentral:rRNA from 1 species
GCGGAGGAAAAGAAACCAACAGGGAUUGCCCUAGUAACGGCGAGUGAAGCGGCAACAGCUCAAAUUUGAAAGCUGGCUUAGGCCCGCAUUGUAAUUUGCAGAGGAUGUUUCUGGCGAGGUGCCUUCCGAGUUCCCUGGAACGGGACGCCAUAGAGGGUGAGAGCCCCGUAUGGAUGGACACCAAACCUAUGUGAAACUCCUUCAACGAGUCGAGUAGUUUGGGAAUGCUGCUCUAAAUGGGAGGUAAAUCUCUUCUAAAGCUAAAUACCGGCCAGAGACCGAUAGCGCACAAGUAGAGUGAUCGAAAGAUGAAAAGCACCUUGAAAAGGGGGUUAAACAGUACGUGAAAUUGUUGAAAGGGAAGCGCUUGUGACCAGACUUGCGCCGGGCAGCUCAUCAGGGGUUCUCCCCUGUGCACUCUGCCCGGCUCAGGCCAGCAUCGGUUCUUGUGGGAGGAUAAGAACGGUAGGAACGUGGCCCCCCUCCGGGGGGGUGUUAUAGCCUGCCGUACGAUACUCCCGUGGGGACCGAGGUUCGCGCUCCGCAAGGAUGCUGGCGUAAUGGUCAUCAGCGACCCGUCUU